rnacentral:lncRNA from 1 species
AAGCUCGAAUGUUGGAGAACAUUACAUGUGGGAAGGCCAGCUGGAUCACCUCCCCUUAUGUGGUAUUAGUUUACUCUAGUACUUUUUUGGAGGAGUUUAUCUUAACAAUAGAGAAGUCCAUGAGCAAGAGACCCCAUGGUCUCAGUAAAUGUUUGGUACUUGUGUAUUGGGACAGGUUUAUUAGGGAUCUACUCUAUAGUUUCAGACAUUGGAGGACGUCUGAGCUGUUCAAGGACAUCUCAGAAGUCCAUGACUAGAUGAGGAUAUUAAAGUGUGGAGAUAUGGCCACAUUUUGGGAGAGUGUCCAAAAUGUGUUUUGGUUUAGCCAACCAGGACAGUGGCACAGACAGUUACAGGCCGAGGUGGCUUGCACUCUGGUCAAGUUGGCAUACCAAUCAAGACUAAUAAUGGUAAAAGAUGAGUUUAAAGUGGGGGCGGCCAUGCCCAUUUCUCUGGUCUUCUUGGUAGAUCCGAGUAUGAGUCUUCGAAUGCUGUUAUUACAUGUAAUUAUUCAAACAUCUCGACCUUCUAAAAUUUUAUUAGAUCAUGGGUUUAUUCUCUUUUUAUCUGCAUAAUUAUUUCCACUUUUGUCUAUGGUUAUGAUUUUCUGUUUUUUCCUAUGCAUAAUUUAGAUAACCAUAAAUUAUUCCUUUAGGGUGGAUUGAUUACAUCGAUCUUGUGGUG